CCAAACCCUAGCUCACUUCUCCCCAAUCUUCCACCUGCGCGCCGCCCUCACUCUCUACCUCAGCAAAAAUUAGGCGGCCGCCGCGCGCUCGUUCCUCCCCAAAUUCGCUCAACGCGCUCCUCCGCCCUCGCCAUUUCGCCGCCAUGCCGACUUGUCCCAGCCAAAUCACUCGCGCUCGCUGGCCCCUGCCAAAUCCAUAUCCCUACCGCGCCUGCUCCAUCUCCCCAAAUCACCACCGUGCCCUCCCUCUCCCAACCUCACGCAGUCUACUUCCUCCCCCAAAUCUUGCGCCACCGCCUUCGUUUGCUGCUAGCUCGGCCCUUGCCGCCCCAAUCUUCUCCACGUUGCUUUUCCCUUGACCCCUCAACCCCAAUCUCCUGCAUUGCCGGUCACUUUGCUGCAAGAACAAGGCGUCCUUCCCCCUAUGUAUUCGCUCAAGCUCAUCAACUGCAUGGAACUGUGGUCCAUCUAGGUGCUCCACCGUAUGGGUCCAUUGAGAAGACUAACAAGGCAUUCUUGAACGCUUGACGGGUUUUUGGGAAGAAAGCAUUUAAAAUCUACGUUCCAAUGAAAUCAAGGCAGUUCUGGAAGAAAUGCUAGGAGGGUCCCUUGAAGCCAUUUGCAAGUGUUCAUGAUUUUUGUGUUGUUUUGGAGUCUGUGGAGGUGAAUAUUUUGCACUCAACCUAAAUGGCUGCAAGCUUGGUUAUAUGGCUGUGAGCUAGCUUUGUUGCUCAGUUAGUUUGAUGCACAAUGUAUCAUUGUUGGCCGGACUACUAGCUCAUGUAUGGAUGACUUAAUAUCAUGUAUGAAUGACUUAAUAUCAAUGGUACAUGCUUUCCAAUGAAUCGAUGCAAUAUGUUUCCACUC